rnacentral:rRNA from 1 species
UGUUCCAGCCACGCCACCCUCAACAAGCCCCAUCCCAUCUGAUCUGGGAGCUAAGCAGGGUCGGGUGGGGUCAGUACUUGGAUAGGAGACCACGUAGGACGACCAGCUGCUGUGGGUGU